UCUUUGCCUGCUGACCUCCCAGUGCCC
rnacentral:piRNA from 1 species